rnacentral:rRNA from 1 species
UUAUAUAAUUACUUAAAUCGGUUAAUAAUAACAUAGUUUAAAAACCAAAGAACUUGGCGGUGUUUUAUAAAAUCAGGGGAGCCUGUUACUUAAUAUGAUAAUCCACAAAUAUCUUACCAUGUUUUGAAAUUACCAGUUUGUAUACUACCGUAAAGUUUAGCUUAAAUAUCUAAACAAUAAAUAAUAUCUUAUACUCAAAUAUAAAACAGGCCAUAGUGCAACUAAUAACAUGUGUGAAAAAUGGGCUACACUUAACUACAUAAACAUUAAAAUAAAUAAUAAUCUUAGAACUUGACAGUAAUAAAGUUUUACUAUAAAUUUAUCAAUUACCAAUAAUACAUGUACAUAUCGCCCGUCACUUUCGUUGAAAAAUG